UACGGAGGGUGCGAGCGUUGUCCGGAAUCACUGGGCGUAAAGGGCGCGUAGGCGGCGCGGUAAGCGUGCGGUGAAAGCCCGGGGCUCAACCCCGGGUCGGCCGUGCGGACUGCCGGGCUCGAGCACUGUAGAGGCGGGUGGAAUUCCGGGUGUAGCGGUGGAAUGCGUAGAGAUCCGGAAGAACACCGGUGGCGAAGGCGGGUCUCUGGGCAGUAACUGACGCUGAGGAGCGAAAGCGUGGGGAGCGAACAGG
rnacentral:rRNA from 1 species